rnacentral:rRNA from 1 species
AUUGAACGCUGGCGGCAGGCCUAACACAUGCAAGUCGCACGAGUGGCGGACGGGUGAGUAAUGUCUGGGAAACUGCCUGAUGGAGGGGGAUAACUACUGGAAACGGUAGCUAAUACCGCAUACCAUCAGAUGUGCCAAGAUGGGAUUAGCUAGUUGGUGGGGUAACGGCUCACCAGGGCGACGAUCCCUAGCUGGUCUGAGAGGAUGACCAGCAAAACUGGACAUGAGACACGGUCCAGACCCCUACGGGAGGCAGCAGUGGGGAAUAUUGCACAAUGGGCGCAAGCCUGAUGCAGCCAUGCCGCGUGUAUGAAGAAGGCCUUCGGGUUGUAAAGUACUUUCAGGGGGGAGGCGUUACCCGCAGAAGAAGCACCGGCUAACUCCGUGCCAGCAGCCGCUGUAAUAC